GAUGAACGCUGGCGGCGUGCCUAAUACAUGCAAGUCGAGCGAAUGGAUUAAGAGCUUGCUCUUAUGAAGUUAGCGGCGGACGGGUGAGUAACACGUGGGUAACCUGCCCAUAAGACUGGGAUAACUCCGGGAAACCGGGGCUAAUACCGGAUAACAUUUUGAACCGCAUGGUUCGAAAUUGAAAGGCGGCUUCGGCUGUCACUUAUGGAUGGACCCGCGUCGCAUUAGCUAGUUGGUGAGGUAACGGGUCACCAAGGCAACGAUGCGUAGCCGGCCUGAGAGGGUGAGCGGCCACACUGGGACUGAGACACGGCCCAGACUCCUACGGGAGGCAGCAGUAGGGAAUCUUCCGCAAUGGACGAAAGUCUGACGGAGCAACGCCGCGUGAGUGAUGAAGGCUUUCGGGUCGUAAAACUCUGUUGUUAGGGAAGAACAAGUGCUAGUUGAAUAAGCUGGCACCUUGACGGUACCUAACCAGAAAGCCACGGCUAACUACGUGCCAGCAGCCGCGGUAA
rnacentral:rRNA from 1 species